UAAGUUGUGGUGGUGAAGGUUACUAGUUCUCCUGUUCGUGUAGAUCUGCAAAAUUUUGGGAUUGAAUGGUAUCGAUUUCUUCUCCCCAUCAGAUGUUGUUGAAAAAAGAAAUUUUCGGAAAGUUUGCAUUUGCAUAAGGGCACUAUCAAAGAAAGCCAGAUCAAAACAUUUAAAGGUCCCAGACUUUGAUGUGGUAACAUACACUAUUGCCAUGCCAAAAGAUAUGGUGGGGGGCAUUAGAAGAAGCUUGGAGACAUCGCAAUGUAACUUUUCAAGUUCAUCCAGUUAUUAGCUCAUAUAAAUAUCAAAGACAGAAAGUUAGGCAGGUAUACUCAUCAAGGAUUAACGCCAUAUCCAUCAGCAUGUAUGAGCUUGUGUAUUGAUAAUAUUGUAUUUAUAAUAUAGUUUGUUGAUAAUAUUGUGUUUUGAUGGUUUGUU